rnacentral:rRNA from 1 species
CAGUAGCCGCGGGAAAACGGAGGGAGCUAGCGUUGUUCGGAAUUACUGGGCGUAAAGCGCGCGUAGGCGGUUACUCAAGUCAGAGGUGAAAGCCCGGGGCUCAACCCCGGAACUGCCUUUGAAACUAGGUGACUAGAAUCUUGGAGAGGUCAGUGGAAUUCCGAGUGUAGAGGUGAAAUUCGUAGAUAUUCGGAAGAACACCAGUGGCGAAGGCGACUGACUGGACAAGUAUUGACGCUGAGGUGCGAAAGCGUGGGGAGCGAACAGGAUUAGAGACCCCUGUAGUCCCUGUCUCUUAUAC